ACAAUGGAGAGUUUGAUCCUGGCUCAGGAUGAACGCUAGCGGCAGGCCUAAUACAUGCAAGUCGAACGAUACCAGAGAGCUUGCUUUCUGGGAAAGUGGCGCACGGGUGCGUAUCGCGUAUGCAACCUACCUUAAUCAGGGGGAUAGCCUCUCGAAAGAGAGAUUAACACCGCAUAAAAUCACACUUCGGCAUCGAAGCAUGAUCAAAUAUUUAUAGGAUUAAGAUGGGCAUGCGUGACAUUAGUUUGUUGGUGAGGUAACGGCUCACCAAGACUACGAUGUCUAGGGGAUCUGAGAGGAUGACCCCCCACACUGGUACUGAGACACGGACCAGACUCCUACGGGAGGCAGCAGUAAGGAAUAUUGGUCAAUGGGGGCAACCCUGAACCAGCCAUGCCGCGUGCAGGAAGACGGCCCUACGGGUUGUAAACUGCUUUUAUACGGGAAUAAACCCCUUUACGUGUAGAGGGUUGAAUGUACUGUAAGAAUAAGGAUCGGCUAACUCCGUGCCAGCAGCCGCGGUAAUACGGAGGAUCCAAGCGUUAUCCGGAUUUAUUGGGUUUAAAGGGUGCGUAGGCGGCCUGUUAAGUCAGGGGUGAAAUUUUUCGGCUCAACCGGAAGCUUGCCCUUGAUACUGAUGGGCUUGAUUACACUUGAGGUAGGCGGAAUGUGACAAGUAGCGGUGAAAUGCAUAGAUAUGUCACAGAACACCAAUUGCGAAGGCAGCUUACUAAGGUGUCAAUGACGCUGAGGCACGAAAGCGUGGGGAUCAAACAGGAUUAGAUACCCUGGUAGUCCACGCCCAAAACGAUGAAUACUCGAUGUUAGCGAUAUACAGUUAGCGUCAAAGCGAAAGCGUUAAGUAUUCCACCUGGGGAGUACGCCCGCAAGGGUGAAACUCAAAGGAAUUGACGGGGGCCCGCACAAGCGGAGGAGCAUGUGGUUUAAUUCGAUGAUACGCGAGGAACCUUACCCGGGCUUGAAAGUUACUGAAUGAUCUAGAG
rnacentral:rRNA from 1 species